GUGUAAGUCUCAUGAUGCACCCUCAAUUAGCAAAUAAAAUGUAUAUUCAAACUCGGAGAGAAAGCGUCUGUUCAUUGUUUCCCCAAUCGCUCUCCGGUGUCUUGAGUCUUUUGACGGAAAGUGCUAGAUAUCGACGGCCGAAAUACGACAAUGGCGACCACUUCGAAUGUUUCUAAUCGGCUACGACUACACAGUUAGCAGAAUUGAAUUGGAAUGCUAAAGACAAUGCCACUUGGUCAGAUGUUCUGUACAGAGUUAUUGUUCCUUCGUCUUAUGACCAUUAAAUGGCGAGUCAUUGUUAUCAUGAUUCGUGUAUUUGUUGAGAAUGUUGUGGAGCUCUGAGGUGAUAUAUGGUGUUAAUUGGAAUAGGGGAGUAUGGGCUUCAUGAUCUUGUGCUGUUGGAGUAAGUUCUCAUUUAUUAUGUUAUCUUAUUGCUUUUCUCCUUAUAUCAAUCGUAUAUGUAUAUGCUGAGAAAGAUAUGUUAAUGGAAGAGUGAUAGAUUGAUUGUAUAUGUUGAAAAAGAUAUAUUUAAUAGCAUAGAUAAUGAAGUAAUCGUACACAAUUUUUGAAGUAUGAAAACUCCUCGAUGACAAUUGUGAAAGUACUCAAUGAAAUUAUCAAUGAAGGUUAAAUUUAUUUAUUUAUUUAUUUUUA